AAUAAAAGUAGUGCGAGUGCGGAAAGUAAAUAAAAGUAGUGCGAGUGCGAGAAAUAAAUGAAAGUAGUGCGAGUGUGAGAAAUAAAUGAAAGUAGUGCGAGUGCGGAAAAUAAAUAAAGUAGUGCGAGUGCGAGAAAUAAAUGAAAGUAGUGCGAGUGUGAGAAAUAAAUGAAAGUAGUGCGAGUGCGAGAAAUAAAUGAAAGUAGUGCGAGUGCGAGAAAGAAAUGAAAGUAGUGCGAGUGCAAGAAAUAAAUAAAGUAAAGACAGUGCGGGAGAGUAAAUGAAAGUAGUGCGAGUGCGAGAAAUAAA
rnacentral:lncRNA from 1 species